UACGUGAGGUGGCGAGUCGAUUGAAUCGAAUACUGGGCGUAAAGCGUGCGUAGACGGUUAUUUAAGUCGGGUGUGAAAGCCCCGGGCUCAACCUGGGAAUUGCGAUGGAGACUGCAAGGCUAGAAUCUGGCAGAGGGGGGUAGAAUUCCAUGUGUAGCAGUGAAAUGCGUAGAGAUGUGGAGGAACACCGAUGGCGAAGGCAGCCCCCUGGGUCAAGAUUGACGCUCAUGCACGAAAGCGUGGGGAGCAAACAGG
rnacentral:rRNA from 1 species